rnacentral:misc_RNA from 1 species
GAUGAAGAACGCAGCGAAAUGCGAUAAGUAGUGUGAAUUGCAGAAUUCAGUGAAUCAUCGAAUCUUUGAACGCACAUUGCGCCCCUUGGUAUCCCGAGGGGCAUGCCUGUUCGAGCGUCAUUAUAACCACUCAAGCUCUCGCUUGGUAUUGGGGUUCGCGGUUCCGCGGCCCCUAAAAUCAGUGGCGGUGCCUGUCGGCUCUACGCGUAGUAAUACUCCUCGCGAUUGAGUCCGGUAGGUCUACUUGCCAGCAACCCCCAAUUUUUACAGGUUGACCUCGGAUCAGGUAGGGAUACCCGCUGAACUUAAGCAUAUCAAUAAGCGGAGGA